rnacentral:rRNA from 1 species
GGGUUCGAUUCCGGAGAGGGAGCCUGAGAAGCGGCUACCACAUCCAAGGAAGGCAGCAGGCGCGCAAAUUACCCAAUCCCGACACGGGGAGGUAGUGACAAUAAAUAACAAUACGGGGCUCUUUCGGGUCUCGUAAUUGGAAUGAGUACAAUUUAAAUCCCUUAACGAGGAACAAUUGGAGGGCAAGUCUGGUGCCAGCAGCCGCGGUAAUUCCAGCUCCAAUAGCGUAUAUUAAAGUUGUUGCAGUUAAAAAGCUCGUAGUUGAAUUUCGGGAUUGACACAUCGGUCGUGCCUUAAGGGGUAUGAACUGGUGUAGUCAAUUUCUCACCUUCUGGAGAACCGCGAUGCCCUUAAUUGGGUGUCGCGGGGAACCAGGACCUUUACUUUGAAAAAAUUAGAGUGUUUAAAGCAGGCAUUUUGCUUGAAUACAUUAGCAUGGAAUAAUAAAAUAGGACGGCAUGAUUCUAUUUUGUUGGUUUCUAGGAUCACCGUAAUGAUUAAUAGGGAUAGUUGGGGGCAUUAGUAUUCAAUUGUCAGAGGUGAAAUUCUUGGAUUUAUUGAAGACUAACUACUGCGAAAGCAUUUGCCAAGGAUGUUUUCAUUAAUCAAGAACGAAAGUUAGGGGAUCGAAGACGAUCAGAUACCGUCGUAGUCUUAACCAUAAACUAUGCCGACUAGGAAUCAGACGAUGUUAAUUUUUUAAUGACUCGUUUGGCACCUUAC